GAGGUUGUGGCUCAGUGGUAGAGUGCUGGCCUAGCAUGUGUGAGGCACUGGGUUCAAUUCUCAGCACCUCA
rnacentral:tRNA from 2 species